rfam:Ovis aries breed Texel chromosome 6, whole genome shotgun sequence.
UCCCUGGUGGCUCAGAGGUUAAAGCGUCUGCCUCCCAUGCGGGAGACCCGGGUUCCAUCCCUGGGUUGGGAA